GACGAACGCUGGCGGCGUGCCUAAUACAUGCAAGUUGAGCGCUGAAGGUUGGUACUUGUACCGACUGGAUGAGCAGCGAACGGGUGAGUAACGCGUGGGGAAUCUGCCUUUGAGCGGGGGACAACAUUUGGAAACGAAUGCUAAUACCGCAUAAAAACUUUAAACACAAGUUUUAAGUUUGAAAGAUGCAAUUGCAUCACUCAAAGAUGAUCCCGCGUUGUAUUAGCUAGUUGGUGAGGUAAAGGCUCACCAAGGCGAUGAUACAUAGCCGACCUGAGAGGGUGAUCGGCCACAUUGGGACUGAGACACGGCCCAAACUCCUUCGGGAGGCAGCAGUAGGGAAUCUUCGGCAAUGGACGAAAGUCUGACCGAGCAACGCCGCGUGAGUGAAGAAGGUUUUCGGAUCGUAAAACUCUGUUGGUAGAGAAGAACGUUGGUGAGAGUGGAAAGCUCAUCAAGUGACGGUAACUACCCAGAAAGGGACGGCUAACUACGUG
rnacentral:rRNA from 1 species